rnacentral:rRNA from 1 species
AACGAACGCUGGCGGCGCGCUUAACACAUGCAAGUCGAACGAGAAGGCGUAGCAAUACGCUUGUACAGUGGCGAACGGGUGAGGAAUACAUGGGUAACCUACCCUCGAGUGGGGGAUAACCCGCCGAAAGGCGGGCUAAUACCGCGUACGCUUCCGAUCUUGCGGGAUUGGAAGGAAAGCUGUCCCUUGGGGGAUGGCGCUCAAGGAUGGGCUCAUGUCCUAUCAGCUUGUUGGAGGU